rnacentral:rRNA from 1 species
UACGUAGGGGGCAAGCGUUGUCCGGAUUUAUUGGGCGUAAAGAGCGUGUAGGCGGCUUUGCAAGUCCGUUGUGAAAACUCGAGGCUCAACCUCGAGACGCCGGUGGAAACUGCAAAGCUAGAGUCCGGAAGAGGAGAGUGGAAUUCCUGGUGUAGCGGUGAAAUGCGCAGAUAUCAGGAAGAACACCCGUGGCGAAGGCGGCUCUCUGGGACGGUACUGACGCUGAGGAGCGAAAGCGUGGGGAGCGAACAGG